GGGGGAAUAGCUCAGUGGUAGAGGCGCUGGAUUCCAGUCCCAGCGGUCCGUGGGUUCGAUCCCCUCUUCCUCUCA
rnacentral:tRNA from 1 species